GCUUUUUUCUUCUUCCAGGAAACGAGAUGAAACAUGUCGGCAAUGGCUUUUAUGUACUAUACAUGAUUCUGAAGGCUCUGUAAAUUGAUGAUGCCCUGAAGCUUCAGUGACAUCUUCUGAUGAUGGCAUGAGUUUUAUUCAGGUUCACUGGAAGUAUAUGAGGCACGUGACGAAAUACAAGUGCAAAUGCUAUCUGAUUUGCACCAUUCUUAUUUCUGGGAUCUAUUUCUCCAACAUUUAUGCAUAUUCGUUUAGAGUAGAUAAAUAAUCCCACUAGUGAACUUAUUACAUGAAGGCAAUGUGCUGACAGUUGAUGAUGAGUUACGGCUCCUGAAAUACUCCCGAAAAUUAUAUCAAUUAUCUCUAUGGAGCAGAGAUGAAAAAACUCACAGAAGAGGCAUGAUGAGCACGACGAGACCACCACAACCGUCAGGAUGACCAGGAGAAGAGCAUCAACUGGGGGAUGAUGUAGUACUGGUAAUUCUGUUUCCAGAGCAAACUCAGCAAGGUUGUAUACCAACUCAACUUUACACGAAAAGCUUUGCCUUAUAAUCAGAGAUUCAUUCAGGGAUUGGUCAUGGCUAUAAAUUGAUGAGUCUAAUAAACAGGGGCUGGGUUGAACAUGGACAGGUAUGGUGCCACGGACGGGGAUUCAGUUCAACUAAAUAAAUAAUCAGAGAGAAGAGCAAGCACAAGAUAGUCCAAACUACAACCACAUCAAAGUCCUCUUUCGUUCCUUUGGUUGUUGCUAGGUCCUGAUGAAACUGAUACUUUUGUUCCUUGAUGGCAGUAUGGCACGGAUUUGAACGUUUUCAUCCCCAUCUCAUGGUGACACCACAUGUUGGAAUGGAG
rnacentral:rRNA from 1 species